rnacentral:lncRNA from 1 species
UUGCUGUCCUGAAGUCUGUGGGUGGCAGCCUGGGCUGUCCAUCAGCUCACAUCACCCCAUGGGGACGUCCUGCCAAGCCAGCUGUGUAUCAGCAAUGCAGAGGGGACGUGCUCUGAAGGAGCUGGUGUUGGUUCUUUCAGUUGGAGCCCGCUGACUGCCUGCCUGACAGUGUUAAAAGCAUCACUGGAUAAGCAGUAAUGUUUCCAUGUUUCCCAGCAAACAGGUCAGUUUUCUCCAGUGUCAAAUUCCGAUCACGCUGCAGCUGGUUUGAUAGACAUAAACUGUGAAGUAGAAGAACAGUUGCAUCCUCACAGAGUUCAAGUUGCUGCAGAAGUCUUACAGCCAUUCCUCUGCUCUUUCAGCUGUAUUAGUUUUUGCAGCUUUUACUUCUUAGUUCUCUUUCUACCAGAGAGAGCAGAUCCUGUGUGGAUACUCAGAAAGCACUGAGCACACCAAGCUGAAUGUUGUAAUCUGGAAGCAAGUCUGGGUCAUGCUAUGGAAACGCAUGGAGUGAGGUGGGGAGAUAAGAAGAAGAAAGGAGUGGGGCUAAAAGUGGAAAUGGCACGUUCCAGAGAUGAGAAGAAGAGAAAAAUGAUGGAGUAUUAAAAUGAUGGGAGAAAAAACAAGAGCAACCGCCACCAAGAGAGGCAGCGAGGCAUAUUUCAAAGGAAACUGGAAGCAGGAGAGUUGCAGUUAGGUUCAGUGGUGCGUGAGUUCAUCUAAAGGUCUGGCUGGACUGGAGGGGAGGCACCUCAUCUGUACCAACUUUCUGUCCUGUUCCCCCUUCAAGUAUCUGUACUGAUGGCUUUGCAUCUUGACACUUGAAUUCUGGCCAAGUAAGCAGGAAGGGCUGAGCCUAAAAAAGCAGCAGAUCCGUCCGUCUGCCUCCUCUGCUUUUGUUUCCCCAAAUCUUUGUUACUCUCCCUGCAGACACGAUACCAUUUCACCAGUAAAGCAAGACCAGCUCUCCAAGCAAGACACAGAGUUCUGGCACCGGACGAGAGAUGUUGUGUCUUUCAGUAAUGUUAUUUUACCUUUGAGUUUUUUGGGUUCUAAUAUGCUCAUAUAUAGGCUUUGCUCUUCCACUCUCUACCACCAGGUAGCUCUGUUCUCACUUCCUUGGGAUGGAAGUGUCAUGCUCUGUCCCGCUGGCAGGGAAAAUGGUGUCUUCAGAAGUAGUUUCAGUUACUCUCAUAUAUCAUCAAAGUAGGAGUAUGCUUAACGUUUGGGGGAAAGAAAACCCAACAAAGUUUCAUAUGAAACUGGAAGAUUUAAUGGUAAGGGACUUGGAAGAAAGGGAGAGCAUACAGGCAUUGCCUUUUCUAUUGUUUCUUUGAUUGUCACUCCAGGUUGAUAUACAAAUGAACACUAAAAGACCUCUCUCCCUUAAUGCCUUUUCUGGAAAAGUGGUGGGUUCAGAUAUCCAUCACAACCUCUAGAUGGAUAAAAUGGAGAAAAGAGGGACAUAGCUGCACAGCGCUCAUUGUUCUAUUGCUUACUGGGCAAUACCAGCAGCAGGUGACAACAUUUCGUGCUUUGGGACAAAGAAUUUUACUGUACAUUUACUGCAAGUUAACGGAUCUCAAAGAUGAUCCACUGAGCAAGGAGCUGUCUGAGGAUGAUCAGUUUAGAAAUGGCUGUGUAGGUCUGUGUAUCCAAAUGUAGGACUGCCAUCAGGUUACACCUGCUCUAUGACAGAUUUCAGCUGUGGAAGUUUUCAUGUCAAGCAUUACUCAUUCUGGUAGAGGUAUAGGCUUGAUGAAGUCACUGCACCUGAGCUGGCUAGGAAGUCUGCUGCUUAACCCACUCGUUGAUCAGUUGGUGAGCAAUGGCCUGCUUGGGAGGGAACCAGGGUAAAAAAUUUCCAUUGUCUUGCUUUGCAGAUUUGGGUUCUCGCUUGAGACCCUCCAUGACUUCCUCCAGGCCAAACCAGCGGGCUUCCUCCAGCUCCAGGCUGUUCAUACUGAUCUGGAAAGAAUUAGGGGGGGGUAGCAGUUCCUUAAAUCAGCUUUAAAUGUGGGCAGCAGUCCCUUGUUCUUGCACCCACAAGGAUCCCAUGCUGGAAUUAACUGUUGAUACCAGCACAGGAGAGGACGUGACUGCACACCAUUGUUUCCUUAGGGAAGCCACGAGUCAGUUAGCCCCGUUCCAUCAUGGCAUUGGCCUGCAAAGUACUAGUGUCUGAGCACCAUAAUUAACGUAGCAGAAACUGCAUGUUCUACAGUGGAUAAUGUUCUGAAUAUUAGAAUGUAACUGCUCUGCAAAGUUAAGAGGAAAAAAAUGUAGAGGCGUUGUGCUCUGGGCUUGUACAUUCAGUGACCUGUGCAAAAUUUUGCAUGUUACAACAGAAGCAAUCAUUAUUUUCUAGUCUCUUCCUCACUUGUAGGAAGCUAGCUGGAAAAAGCAUUUAGAGAGGGAGCUGAUGCUAUCCAAGCUAAAGUCUGUGGGCCAAAAGAGAUUCUGCUAUGUAAAGCUGGCAUUGAAAUGCCUUGAAGGAACCUGAGUCCACUCACCUCCAACUGCUGUCCCCUCACCAAUGCAUGACAAGCUAUCAUUAAGCAGCUGCUGGGGAAGGGCCAGUGCUGGGAUGCUGAGUACCAGAGUGACUCCACCUCCAGGCCCACCUCUUCUGCCACCUCUCGUCGGGCUGUCUCCUCCACAGCUUCACCUAGAAGCAAACAUAUUUGAGUAAGGGCAGGGUGGCAUCAGGGCAGCGAACCGUGGCAAGAAAAGGUAGGUACACUCAUUUCUGAGGUGUUCCAGCCCUGACUGUCAAGCAUGAGAAGGAGCUCUGGUUGUGCUGACCUGGGAAUGCUUAUGUAUUGAAUUGAGCAUCUUGCUGCCAGUGCUUACCUCCCUUAACCAAAGCCAUCAGAGACACUUUUGGUUUUGUCUGUAUGCAGCCAGAGGACAGAAUGUGGGGCUGCCCCUCUUUGUUUCCCUUUUUAAGCCACUUUCCCUCCUGUAACUAAGGGUCACAAGUCUGGGGUUUCUUUCUGAGCCAGAUGGUACAAGAUACAAAAUGGACCAAGAAGUAUCUGGGGCUUCUAUUCUGGGAAGUCUUACACUUAAAUUUACUACCAGAGACUACAGCAACUGAUACAUACUCAUAAUUCACCCAUUCUCUUCACAUAUAUAUUAUUUUGAACCCUAACUGAAUAGCGAUGCUGAGCCAAUCCUUAUUUUUGUGGUAUCAACCACGCAUCACUCAUCUUUCGUGAGCAGGCCCUUGGUUGAUGUCACACAGCUCUGCAUCUGAGGGCACCGUGCUGGACAAGAGGCCGCCUUACCUAUGUCGCAGAAGCCAGACAGAGCGGUGUACAUCCCCUGAGGAAACGAGGGCUGUCGUGCAAGGAGGCAGCGGCUGCCAUCAGACACCAAGAUGAUAACUACUGGAGACAUCUAGAAAAUGCACCCAUGAGCAAAGGAAGGAGUUCAGAUCAAACAUGUGCCUACCUGUGGGUAAUAAGUUAUUCCGCUGGCGUGACACACGCGCUUGCUGCCAGCUACAUUCUUCUGAGUCGGCUGCCCAGUUUUGCUACAGUACUGGUGGGAAUCGUGCCACCGGAGAAGGGCCUGGGCCUGUGAUGAAGGAAAUACAGAUCUAUGGACAGCUGGAGCCAGGAGAUGAUUCAGAGCAGUCUCCCUGAGUGAUGCUUUGCUGUUUUCUCCCCAGCAUGCUGUUACGGGCGUGAACUCUGAUUACAUUUGGAAGCCUCUAUAAAGUAAAUGAAAUACGGGUUUUGAUAAAGGGGUCUUCUGCAAUUGGUGUUUUAUGUUUACUGCCCUAGCAUCCAAAUUUCAUCAUUUUAAGAGAAGGCGGAGGAAGAGUUGUUCCUUAUUGGGAUAUAAUGGGAGCAUUAAUGAGAACUGAACUAUCCGAAGGAGAUGCCCCAAAUACCUUUUGGGAAAAACAACCCAAGCAUAAAUGUUACAGAGCAGGAAAAGAAACAUUAAUUAUUUCUGCUUAUCUGUUUGGACGCCUUAUUUUCUGUCUUUAGGUCUUCCAAACAGGGCAUCUUGAGAGUAAUUACAGCAUCCUUGUACCUAGUUGGCUAAAAACUGACUGUAGAUACUUCCACAAUACAUAUUAAGUCAUAAAACAACGUGGGAGACAAAGAGAUGUUAGGAAUAGUAACUUCUUAAGGUUACAAAUCCUGCACUGUACCGAGGCCAGCAAGGAAGAAGAAUCCUCAUCCACUACAAAGAGAGCCUUUCGUAAGUCAGUGAACGAUCCCUUGAGCUCAGCCUCAAUGACUGAUCUUUCCAAGGCUCCUGCUUAAAAAACAACACAUCUGUGAUCUCAUGAACUGCAGUUCUUAUCCCAGCUUUACACCCUUCAUUGUUGCGGUAUACAAUUUCUGGAAGUUCCCCUGGAAGUGACAUCAAUGGUACACAUUUCCAAACGUUAAGUGACCUGCAAACAGCCCACCUUUACAAACGCCCAGAGGAAUGGGAGUGCAGUUCAGCCACGGUUUGGCUCAAUCACUGCGCUCACAGCAGCUCCUACAGAGGAUCGACUGAGUCCUCUUGGCAGUAAAUAAUCACCCAGCAUGGAGAAGGGACGCUGCCUCAGCAGCGUCUUCAUCUCAGUGCAUCAAAUGUGAUGCCAACACAGAUGGAAGAGGAGUCAUCCCAACCUAAAUCCAGGGCAAAGUGUGGUACGUGCUCAUCUGAACAACCGAUCAGCACCGACUUCUCUAUCCACUGUUCAGUCUCUUUGAAUUUCUCCAGGAUCCUUUUCAUUUCUAAAGAGCAGGAGAAAGGGGAAGGAAAAGCCGUAAGGAAAGUUAAUUUGUAUGACUGUGAAGCUCUUUCUGCAUUGCCAAGGCUUGUGCAAUCUGGGCUUGAGGCAUGGUGCUCGUGCGAGAGCAGUGGUGGAGACCAGAAGCGUAGCUUCCUUCCUAGAUGUUGCAUCUUUUGACCGUGUCAAGCUAAAGAUGCGAAUGCUUUUAUGCUUGAGGAACAGCUGUCCAUUCCAUUUCUCUCUUAUGCCAGCUGAUACUUUUCUCUCAAAACUUCUCCCUGCUUUGAUGGUAGAAUUCUGUCUGUUACCCUGCCAGCUCUUCAGAAGUUAUGGUCCCACAUACUUAAAAUUUAUCAUCUCAAAGCAGCUCAGGCAUAUUUUGAUACCAUAUGCAUGUGAAGAACAUGAGCUCACGUCAAUGUGCUAAGGUUUUAACUCCAAAUAGUCUUUUUUGGUAGCAAACAGCAUGUUGUAUAUAACAGGAUGUUCCAUGCACGUCUCGGUGGAUUUUUAACCCAUGUAAGGUGUUGUUUAUUGCAAAUGACCCUGUAUCAUUUGAGCUGCGUGACCUGCAAGAUGCCCUGACUGGACACCUGCUUACCUGCUGCACUGAGCUGUGGUAUCAAAUAUUUCUCCUCGACUUUCCGCAGGAAAGGUGAGAGAUUGUGAAAGAGGUAGAAUGUUCCCGAGGUCUGGGCUUGUCUACACAAGCUGUCAUCUUCCUUUAGCUUAUUCAAGUAUCUGCAGUAAGAAAAGAAUUGGGAAGAUGAAUUCAAGAUCUUGUUGAUAUUACCUGUGCUAUGCUUAUUUGGACGCAUUUAUUUCAGGCAGUGCAGACCCAAGAUAUGUAACCCAAGUCUCUCAAUCCAAGAGGGCUCUUUCAUAGAUGUGAUUGUUUGUGUGCUGCUUCCAGACAGUCUGAAGUAGUAUUUCAAUGAGGUGAGCAGCAUCACUUCAAGUCUGCCUGAAUUUUUUUUCAAGUUCUUUAGCAAGCACAGGCAUUCAUCUAGAGAGUUUCAGCCUAAGACAAUGAGGUCUCCUCCAUAGUGAAGGGAGGGGGGCUUUGACCACUCCCAUCUACAAAGCACACACAGCAGCACUCCUGCAUCACUGCUGAACUGCUACAAGAUGAAAGCUGGCAUUAGAUUUGGGUAGGGCUGCUUGUGACAGUGAACACAAGAGUGCCCAAUCCUGCUCUCAGUGCAAACAAGAAUUAGAUGAGAACUUACCUCAUUUUUUUAACAUAGGUAGAGUGUGACCUGCAAAAGAGAGCAGCUCUUCUAUACGCUGCUUGAUAAAUCGCAGCCAUAAUCAGCACCAAUGGGAAGCUGUCUCUGCCUGAAAAGAGAAGCACAGAGCAUAACACAGUGGCCUUGAAAAGGUAAAUGUGAUUUAAAAGGUGCAGUAACCCAAUGGUAUGUGCUUUUACAGAACCUAGAGAAUGCCGGCAUUUGCUUUCCAAAAUAAGCGUGCACAGAAGGUCGUAAAGCUCUACAAGAUGAGGUUAAAUAUUCCUCUCUGAACUCCCGUACCAGUGGGGUAAAGAAGUGAGAGUGGCUGCUUUCUUGUUUGUUUUCUACGCAGUUGUAAUGGCCCCCAUCCAACUGAACGUCCUAUUGCAGCAAGCAGCAGAUCUGUGGGAAAGGCAUUGAUGCCAGAAGAGAAUGAAAGACAAAAUAUCGGCGGCGGAAGAGAAUUCCCAGAGCUCGAUGAGAGGCAGAAGUUGCAGCUGAACUGGAUCACCUCCAACUGAGAACCGCUUUUGUGCCAAAGGAUCCUACCACAUUGUCAGCUCAGGCAGUCACAGACUGCCGCCUGAACUCAGCUCCAGAAAACAGCCAUCUCGGGCAUUCAUCUGAAACAAAAAUGAGCUAUGAUUCACAAUCCUCAGCAAUUAUGUCGAGUAUUUCACUUUCCAACCACAGCUCUCAAAGCUCUCUAAGGAGGAAGUUGCGUUUCCUUAAUCCUACAGGCUGGGACGUGUAAGCUGUGCCAAGGAAGAGGCGGCGAGUCCUUCCUCUGAGGAAGGUCGGUGACGGCUCCUGAGCUGGGUGGUGCCUGAGCAGAGGCUCCUCUCCUUGCAGGCAGGCAGUCUCUGUGCCCAAUGCCAUGGAGGUGUCACAGUGGCUCCUGACAUCUCUGCCUACCCAGCAGGAGGUGGAUCGAGACCAGCCACUUCGCAAAUGCUUUGCCCACUUACUGCGCUCGGAGCAGAAGGCGUGCUGUCAGCAGUAGCAGGAAACAGCUCCGAAAGGCUGCCGUUGACCUCAGCUGGAAGCACUGCUCCUCCAGCAAGCAGAGCAGACAGCAGCUGUCUGACCACACUGAGUCGCUCUUCCCCCAGCAGGAGCUCUGGGAAAUGUAGUCCGGGAACCCAAGGCUCAGUUGGGUGGCUGACAGGGUCUGCUCCAGCUUUUCCUGCAGCUGUGGAGCUGCCCGGGGACGAGCCCUUCCUGCACGCUUCGUUCUGCCAGAAAUCCACAUGGUGUAAUUUGCCAAGCAAAAGCUAUUAUGGGAGCAACGCUACUGCAAUAAUUCUGAAAGUAUUACUUCCCGUUUGUUUAGUUUAUUUUUUUUCUUUGCAAGCUUCUCUGUUUUCUGCGUCAGCAGCAUAAGGGCAUUGUUUGAAGUUAAGGACCGUGUGUCCUCUAAGAGGAAAAUAUGCCAACAGCUGAACACAGCUGAGGAAUGGAGCUGCUGAGUGUUCUAGCAGCCAGACCCGCAGCUGAGUUUGCAGCGGCUCUGAUUAGAAAGUGCCCUUUGCCAGGAGAGAUGUUGGAAUAACAACAUGUAUUUUUCAUGCCUUCAUAACUGCAUACAUUUCUCUGGGACUGAGAACGUUACCCUGAGCUGGAACCUACCUGCCUGUAUUAAGGAGAGAGGGAAUUUUAUCAACAUGUAAAUGUUUUCAUUAGCUGUUUGGUGUGAUGUUCUAAUUGAGGAGUUGCCAUGUAACUUGAGAGCAUGGCUUGUAAAACGUAAUAAGUAGAGCAUGCAGGGAAAUAAUAAGUAGAAUAUGCAGGGAAAUGCCACUGGUUGUUGGCAUUGCUUAUGAGUUUAAGUGUAAUUAUGCUAUUUGUGAGCCUGCUCUGCUUCAGGAAGCACGAUCUUAUUAACCCACAGUGCUAAUUGGAUUAAUGGACAAAACAUCUUCCCUUAAUAAGAUAGAGCACCGAAGUGUGAUCUCCAGCGUAAACCCACCCUGCUGUUAAAACGAGCCAGUAGAUCUGCUGAGCCACUAACAGUGAUGGUAGUAAUCUCGCUAGCUCCUGCUCUUCUGUCUUGCCAGCUGCUCCCAACAAGAGGACACGAGCACUGGGACUGCCAUCAGCCCACUAUUGCAAAGCAACUGCUAAUUGCUGCCAGUGCAUCAAGCUAGCGAGCUCACACUGAAAAUGUGUGGUCGCGUCACAAGGAACCUCUUGCUAAAAAAUGUUUCUUUCCCAGGAAAAGGCUGGGGAAAGACAAACCACUUCUUCAAACAGAAAGUUAAUGAGUAGUCUUUUCCUCUGUCAUUACGCUGUUGAUACAAACUAACCUAUAAAUGGUGAGGCUGCCCAGCCCGGUGGUGGUGCUCUGAUCCUACAGGCAGCCGAGGUCAGGCUGGAGGGGGCUCAGAGCUCCUGCUGGAGCCGUUGGUGACCCUGUUCGUUGCAGGGGGAGUUGGACCACAUGGCCUUUAAGCGUCUGUUCCAACGGUAAGGAUGUGAUAAAGGCUUGGAUUCAUUUUAUCACAGCUUCAUUUUGUCAGCAGCCUCAUCUUUGGCCUUGAUGCUACUGGUUAAUAAACAGAUGGGCCACGUCAGCCUGAGAAAAUCCCGUUAAAAGUGAAGUUAAAGAUUAAAGAGUUAAAGCUUAGGAAGCUGAAGAGGCGUUGUUUUCAGGAGUGCUCCCGACACACCUCCACAAGCUGCUGCUCUACCUCUGCCCGCGUGUCCCGGGCUCCCCGCCUGAGGGCUUUCAAGCUGGAGGCUGGCGGACCGCUCCCCGCUUCUGUUUCUGUUGGAGAGAGACCAACGCGAGAGUAAGGGAGGCUUAUUUCUAACGGACGGUUCCGCUGGACCCCGACUCUCCUCCCGCUGCGGCACGGCACUGGCAGCGCAGGCCCUAUCCGCACGGGAACCGGCGGC